UACGGAGGGUGCAAGCGUUAUCCGGAUUUACUGGGUUUAAAGGGUGUGUAGGCGGGCUUUUAAGUCAGUGGUGAAAUCUCCGGGCUCAACCCGGAAACUGCCAUUGAUACUAUUAGUCUUGAAUUUUGUUGAGGUAGGCGGAAUAAGUCAUGUAGCGGUGAAAUGCUUAGAUAUGACUUAGAACACCAAUUGCGAAGGCAGCUUGCUAAACAAACAUUGACGCUGAGGCACGAAAGCGUGGG
rnacentral:rRNA from 1 species